AGAGGAGAGUUUCCUAAUAAAUGGUGGUGGUUAUAAAGGUUGUAUAUACAAUAUAAACCUUAACACACCUUAAUUGUAGACCUUAAUGGUGAAGCUGCUAGUUUGAGUUCUGGUCUGUGAAGCAUGAUCUUGGCCUUUUUCAGUAUUCCUGUGGAUGAAGGUAAAAAGGCCUUAAAUAAUUACCAAAGAGAGUGUCUCUCUUGUGUCUCUGGUGUUCCUAUAGGUACCACAGAGUUAAAACAAAUAAAACAAGGAGAGAGGGAACAAAGAGAAGAGGGAACAAGGAGAGAGAGAACUAGGGGAGAGAGGGAGCAAGGAGAGAGGGAACAAAGAGAAAAGGGAACAAGGAGAGAGGGAACAAAGACAGAGGGAUAAGGGAAGACAGAACAAGGAGAGAGGGAACAAGGAGAGUGGGAACAAGGAGAGAGAAAACAAGGAGAGCGAACAGGGAGCAAGGGAACAAGGAGAGAGGGAACAAGGGAAGAGGGAACAAGCUGAAAGGGAACAAGCUGAAAGAGAACAAGGAGAGAGGGAUCAAGGAGAAAGAGAACAAGGAGAAAGCGAACAAGGAGAGGGGGAACAAGGAGAGAGUCUUUUCACACUGAGUACCUGCAGAGCUUCAGUCUGUUCGUCCUGCUGUGACUCUCUUCAAUCGUUUGAAUAGUGACAUGAAUCCUGAUGAGUUUUUUUUUGUUUUUACUCAGUGAACUCUCUGCUUAUGUCUCAGAAACACUCAGUUUUUUUUAUUUGGGGUAAAGUUUCAGAGAAAAUAGAAAUCAAGUCAGAUCAGAGAGCUCUUUAGUUUUUCUGCAGUGUGAUCAUCUGACCAGAUCUUUAAGGAGACGUUUCUUCAUCUCUGCUCCUUUGUCUUUCUUCAUGUUCAUAAAGCCUCAGAUCGUCCUGCAGACCCAGUGGUGUGUGUAAAGUUGGUUGUUUCAGCUUCAGCAGUUAACUUGGAGUAUCCUGAUCAGGUGAACAGAUCCUGUGGUCUGUGGGUUUGUCAAUCUGCUGUGAAAACACUGAGACGAUCUAACAUUCAGCUUUUUAGCUCCAGUUCUGGUCAGAGUGGCCCCGUCUGCUGAAAACUGUUGGCUAGCUCAAGUGUAGGACCUCUCUGCAGUUUCUGAUCAUCACAUAAACUGAGGCUAAAACACUGAAAACAGACAUUUAACAAAAAACACAAGGAAACUCACGUAUUUGUGUGUUUCUAUCCAAGGCUGUGCUGGAUAGAAACACACACACAUACACAAGCACGCGCGCACACAACACAGACACACACAGGAGACAGUAUGAAGCUGUUCAGACAGACAGCUAAGGCCCGAACUACAUGUAUAUAGAUAUUUAUUUAUCAGGAUAUUUUUGUACUCCCGUCUAAAUAAAUGUAUCUGUCCACACGUGUUAGUUCUCAAAAAUAUCUGCGUCCACACGUAGCCUUCAAACUCAUUCCUAUCUGGUGCCGCUUAAAAAAAAAUUCAGGAACAAAGCUACCUGAUUGGCUGAUGAAUCGUAACAGCGUGAUGCGUCAUGCAUUGUUUGCGGAAGCUACGCUAGUGCGUCGGAUCCAUAUGACGGACCAUGUGACC
rnacentral:lncRNA from 1 species